rnacentral:rRNA from 1 species
UACACGACUCUCGGUAACAGAUAUCUAGGCUCUCGCAUCGAUGAAGAACAUAGCAAACUGCAGUACUUUGUGUGAAUUGCAGAAUCCCGUGAACCAUCGACUCUUUCAACGCAAGUUGUGCCCGAAGCCAUUAGG